rnacentral:lncRNA from 10 species
AAAAGAUCUGUGCAGAUGUCAUUAAGGACCUUCUGGUGAGGUCAUCCUGAAUUGGAGCGGGCCCGGAUCCAAUGACAGUGUUCUUAGAAGAGAGGGGGAGAAGAUACACACAGGGAGGAGUCAUGUGAAGAUGGAGGCAGAGGCCACCUGGAGCCACCAGGAGCUGGAAUAAGCAACGGGUUCUCCCUGGGAGGCCUCAGAGGAGGCGUGGUGCAGCUGCCACUGUGACUUUGGACUUCUGGCCCCAGCACUGUGAGAGGAUAGGUUUUAAGCCAGGCGGUUUGUGGUGCUUGGUUAUGGCAGCCCCAGGCACUCACGCACCUCUCCAGAGGUGCUGCUGCCCAGGGAGUGUUCUGCAUGCUGCACCUGGCUUCCUGCUUUAAGCAGUAAUUUGUGCAUUGCUGCACAUAAAGCCACCUCCCGCUUUUUAACAGCUGCCUGACACGAAUCCCACUGUCUGGGUGUAGCAUGAUUUAUUUCUCCAGACUCUUAUCUGGGCAUGUUGGAGCAGUUUCCAGCUUUUGACAACUUGCAGCAGCCGACAGAUGGAAGCCACUCAAGGGCCCAUGGACAGAGGCGUGAGCAGGCAAAAGAUGGUCUAUGCAUGCCAAAUAGGAUCUGGCCUCAGAAAGCAAGGACAUCGUGACACACGCCACAGCAAGGACCAACCUUGACAACAUGAUGCCGAGUGACAUCCUGACACACGCCACAACAUGGACAGACCUUGAGAACAUGAUGCUGAGUGACAUCCUGACACACACCACAGCAAGGACCGACCUUGAGAACAUGAUGCUGAGUGAAAUAAGCCAGGUACACAGGGACUGACACCGGGUGGUUCCACCUGUAUGAGGUCCCUGGCGGAGUCUGGUUCGUAGAGACCGGAGGUGGAACGGUGAGUGCUGGGGACCGAGGAGGGGCAUGGGGAGGGAGUGUUCAAUGGGGAUGGGGUUUCAGUUUGGGAGGAUGGAACGUUCUGGGGAUGCGUGGUGGUGAUGACUGACAACAAUGUGGAUAUGCUUCAUGCCACUGAACCGUGCACCUAAAAAUGGCUGAAAUGGCAAAUUUUAUCUUAUGC